CGCAGGGCUGUGGUGUCAUCAGAUACCAUGUGGAACGCAUUGGAAUAGUUCUUUUUGCAUAGGGCUUUCCUUCAUGUUUGUGUCUAAUGUUUUUUUUUUUUUUUUGGUCUGUCUGUGUGUGUUUGGAGCUGCCUUGCUUGUGGGUGUUAGGAAUGGUGGUGUGCGGAGUGUGUCAGUGAUGGACUGGAAUGGUGAUUUGUCAAUGUCUGUGUGCUCCACUUUAUGUUGUUUUGUUUUGUUGUUUUUUGCAGAUGCUGAGCAGUGUUCCGAGUGGGCCCAAGGGAGCUGGAGGAAGAAAGGGGCAUGCCCCAAGAAGGCGUGGAGCCUUGCGGGGAGCAGGUCGCUCACAUCCAGGAGGAGCAGGGUGAGGUGAGCAUCAGUCCGGGAGCGGACGUAGAGCCCGGCGUAGGGCCAUCACCUCGUCGGCGCUGUCCCCGUCGCCCAGCGCCGUUCCUGUUUUACAGGUUUUGCGGGAAGUUGUGGAGAGAAGCAGCUGAGUGCUGAGAAGAGCCUGAGCAGGUGAGCG